ACACAACAACAAUUAAGCCUUAAUUCCAACUAGUUGAGGUUUAUUAUAUGAAUUCUCUUUCAUCAGUCAGCUUUUUUAGACACUAGAUCCACAUAAUAUCCAAAACUUAUAAAUCCUAUAUUACUUCCCGACACGUUAUCUUAGGCCUAUCAUACUUUCGUACGGUGGCAUUUGACUUCCUAUGUUGUACAUGACCAAACCAUCUUUUAAAAAACUCACUAUCAUUUCAUCUCCAAUAUUUGUUACAUGAUUCUUUGAUGGAUGUGGUGAUUACUAAUUUUAUCUAUUAUCGUGUUACCAAACAUCUAUCUUAAUAUCCACAUUUCUGCUACACUCAUUUUGUGAGUAUGUUGUACUAUAGAUACCCA
rnacentral:misc_RNA from 1 species